UUUUCUACUAUCAACCUCAAAAAACCCAACUCUGCCUUACGUAAAGUUGCCAGAGUACGAUUAACCUCUGGAUUUAAAAUCUCCGCUUAUAUACCUGGUAUUGGCCAUAAUUUACAAGAACAUUCUCACUACCAAAGAAAAGAUACAUCGGCGGAUCUAAUAGCCGGAGCAUCGACGAAUGGCUUGGGAGGCAAGCAAGAAAAACAAGAUUAUAUAAAAUAUGAAACUACAUUAUAUAAUGAAUCUAAUGAUAUUGAUUUGGUAUUAUGA
rnacentral:rRNA from 1 species